rnacentral:pre_miRNA from 1 species
ACAACAACAUUCGGACCGUCCGUCUACCGAGCAAUAACACCUGCUCGGUGGAAGAUCUUCCCUUUCGUCGUUAAGC